AAAACUACCCCGUUUCAGCCCUCAGCCUGAGGACUCAGAUUCAGGCUCAGGUCUAGGGGUUGGGGAAUAUUAAAGUUUACAAGUCCAAUCUUACUCCAUCCAUGCACACACAUGGAGAAGCCGGGAGAGGACGUGGCCAGAGAUGGGCUCCUGUCCCUGAACCCCUGCUGGGGUGGAAGCAGAGAUGGGGCCUCCCUGUGUUGCCCAGGCUGGUCUCAAACUCCUGGACCCAAGUCAUCCUCCCAAAGUGCUGGGAUUACAAGUGUGAGCCACCAUGCCUAGCCUGACUUUAAAAUUUUUGCCAAUCCAGUGGACAAGGAGGGAGACUGGAAGAAGGGGCCAGAAAUUCAGACUCAGAGGCCCCCUCCAGAGGCCACAAGGCAGUCUGGCCCUCUCUGAACCAGUGGCUCCCACUCACUGGCCCCUUGUCUCUGCCUGGACUCCUGUGGAUGAGUGGAAGGCCUAGAGGGCGCCCUCUGGUGCCCACCAGAUCGACUCCCAAUUAAUCAUUUAACUGUGUCUCCGUGGGCCAACUAUUCAACUUCUCUGUGCCUCGAGUCCUCCUCCAAAAAUGGGGAUAAAGACAGUGCUUGCCUCGUGGGGAUGUUGUGUGUGUAUACAUGCAUACACACAUGUGCAAAGAGCUUAGAGCCCCGCCUGGUACCAUUUUCACGCUCAGUAAAUGCUUAGGAGGAUUGUUGUGGCAACCCAGCAGCCUGAUGUGUAAGCCUAUGGUCCCAUCUCAGGGCAUGUGGGUGUCACAGGAUUGUAGUGGGUGUCACAGGAUCGUAGUCCUGACGGCCCAAAAAUAAUGUUAAAAUGACUCAAGGACUUCACUUGUGCUUCUGAGCUUCCUGAAGGAAAUAGGCACAGUCUAUAGAACUACUUCCCAACACUCCCUUAGUUCAACUGUCCACUUCCUCAGCACAGUCCCUGCCAUGUCUUUGGAGGUCCCCCUGCUCCGGACUUCCUUCAUUCAGCCAACAGUGUUUAUUGGGCACGUGCUAUGUGCCAGCUGCUGUUUUAGGCUCUUAGAAUAAAUCAGAAAACAAAAUAGUGAAAAAUGCCCAUGAUCCACAUGUAGAUUCUAGAGGUCACCCCAGAGAAAAGCCCAGACCCUUGGCCUUCCUCUGACCUGCCCCUUUCUUCCUCGUUCUGCACCCAGAACCCAAGAAAACCCUGCAGCCCUUCCUGGGAGGGCGGUGGAGAGGAAGGAUCUGAGUUGGCCAAGCCAGGCUCUCCAGUAGGCAGGGCUCCAGCAGAGGCUGGGCAUGUUCAGUCAUCAGCAACUGCGUCCCAUUACCUGUGGAAAGCGCCAGCCCUGGCCUGGCAAACAGUAGGAGUUCAUCAAGGGUGCCUUCGUUGUACAGUGGUUGCCUUGUACCCAGUUGGAUUGGCAGCAGCUUCAGGGCACGAGGAGUGACUAUUCACUCCUUGAGGAGCUUGCAGCACAGGGCAAGGUGCACAGUAGGCACUUGGUGGCCGGCAGGGCCCUCUGGGGCACCCUAUAGGUGAAUCUCUUGCUGAGUCCACGGAAGGCCCAUGUCAGAAUCCAGUAAUGUGCUGGGGAGGCGAGCUGGGGUGGGGUUGGAAGUGGUGCUCACCAGCCCAGCCAGGGUUCCUCUUAAAAGUCACAGUGCUCAAAGCCAGCACAGUGCCUCACCUGUUUGUAUACCCUCCCCUGGCUCAUCUCCCAUCCAUUAGUCCUCAAGGUACAUCUGUGAGUCCCAUUGGUCAGGUAGUGGGUACAAUGGGAGGAGACGAGGGUGUGGACUUAUCUUCAGAUCCACCUCUUAGUACCUGUGAGACGUCAGCAACCACCCUGACCCUCUGUGUCUUCAUCUGUAAAAUGCACGUAUUAGUCUCUUCCUUGGUGGAAAGGAUUAAAUGAGAUGCUGCAUAUGGAGACAUGUGGGGUUUUGUAAGUGCUCAUUCUCCCUUUUCCCUCAGGAAGAAAGCCUCCACCUUCAGACUAUCAGGCACUUGGGGACAGACCCCAGGAUACUGCCUUUUGUGGCUCUUACCACCUAUGGUCACCUCAGUUACUCAAGCCACACAUGCAUGUUCGUGUAUCCCCCGCAUUUACACAGAAACUCACGGGCAUUAUAUCAACCAGGGUUCCUAGUUGCAAGCAACAGAAAGAAACUAUGACUGACUUAAGCAGAAAAGGAAUUUCUCAAAAGGAUAUUAUUUGAUUUAUGGAAUCACAGGAAAUUUUCCAGGUCUCCACCUGGAAGGCAGAAUGAACCUUAUUAAAAUUAGUUGAGAUGCACACUUAGCAUUGUGCCUUGCACAGAGUAAGUGCUCAGUAACUCUUAUCCAAUAAUAAUGAAAGCACAUCUUAUGGUGUGACACCUCUGCUCAAAAUCCUUUCAUAGAUCCAAUUGUCUAACAUGGAAACCCUGGCCUCUGGGCUGUGGAUACUUGUGAUGGGGGAGGUGGUGCAGGCUCCAAAUUCUUUCCAAGAGUCUGCAAACCCGCAGACCCAUGAAACAUUGUCUGUAGGCCAGCACUCAUCCUCCACCCCUCUGCCUGCUUCUCCGCUUUCCUAGUUCCUUCUCCCUCCUGUAGGAAUUCAGCAUUGCCACUCCGAUUGGCUGGAUUUUGGGACAUUGAUUGAGCCUUGUUUUCUAGUGGGCAGGAGGCUCUGUGGCUUAAAGGCCACGAGCCCAGCUGCCAAUGAAUCAGUACUUUGUUUCCCCAGGUAGAGUGGGGAAGAGGGGGCAGGGAACUGGCAGGGCAAGUUUGGGGCCUUCUGCUCCAAGGUCCCUCUGGCCAAACUUUAUCAAAUGUCAUCCAACAUGCCCCUGGCUCUCCAUUUCAGAUGUCUGUAAACUGGGGACUAAACAACGCAAAUGUGUUUAAAGGAGUUGCU